rnacentral:lncRNA from 1 species
GCUUUUACAUUUGUUUUUUGUUCAUGCAAACGGUCCAUGACAGUUGGCAGGUAUUGUGCAGGGGGUGAUUUAUGUCAGGCUCUUGCAAGUCAAAAAAUAAACAUAGAAAACUGUUCUAGGCUUUCUUGCCGACAUUGUAUUUGACAGCUGCUGUCACCAUGGUCACCCAAUGCAGUAAAGUCAUUCUCUUACAGUUUUUUUCCGAUUACAUAAACACUAAUAUCAAAAGUAUAUUUUCAUCAAUCUGCGUGCGUGCAUGCGUGUGUGCGUGUGUGCGUGUGCGUGUGCGUGUGCGUGUGUGUGUGUGUGCCUGCGUGUGUGUGUGUCUAUCUGCAAGCCUAUCAAUUUUCUGUGGAAGUGUGAGUGUUGGCAGUCAGAGGGGUGUUCCCAUGCUUCACCUCCACAGCAACAGGCUCAGAUCAUUUAGUCCAUCUUAGAGGAGACUAUACUGGGGAGAAUCCUGCCCACAUACAAACCAUGAACCUAACCUUCACGUUCACACUUCUUCUUGUUGCCAUGGCAGCUCUGGAGACUAAGUCAGGUCCCAUCUUCUUCCGCUGUCAAUGCACCAGAAUCCUCCCCGACGGCGUGAUGAGUGGCAGACAUGUGAACCCUGCAUCUGUGAGGGCCGUGGCCCGGUACCCCGCGGGGGCCCACUGCAGGAAGGAGGAAGUCAUCAUUGACUUCAUCCGAAGAAAACUGUGUGUGAAUCCUAAAGCGCCGUGGGUGAUUGCUCUGGAAAGAAAGAUCCACCUCCAACGCAAUCAUCAACACCACCAGUGCAACCAAUGUCACCACCAACCAGUGGUGGAGGAAGUACUGAAGUUUAGUACUUAAGUAAAAGUACAAGUACCCAGGAAGAUAAAAGUAAAAGUAAAAGUACUACAUCAACAAUCCUACUUAAGUAAAAGUAAAAAGUACUUACUUUUAAAUUUACUUUAAGUAUUAAAAGUAAAAGUACUCACGCAAUGGGUUGUCUCUCAUUGUCUAGGCUGUGCCAUUUUGAUAAAGAAAUAGCUACUGGUAAUAAAUGCCUCUACAGAUGUCA